GGGGUUGUGGCCUAAUGGUAGAGCACUUGCCUAGCAUGCAUGAAGCACUGGGUUUGAUCCCCAGCACCA
rnacentral:tRNA from 1 species